ACGGAAGGCAGCAGUGGGGAAUAUUGGACAAUGGGGGAAACCCUGAUCCAGCGACGCCGCGUGAGUGAAGAAGUAUUUCGGUAUGUAAAGCUCUAUCAGCAGGGAAGAUAAUGACGGUACCUGACUAAGAAGCCCCGGCUAACUACGUGCCAGCAGCCGCGGUAAUACGUAGGGGGCAAGCGUUAUCCGGAUUUACUGGGUGUAAAGGGAGCGUAGACGGCAAGACAAGUCUGAAGUGAAAGGCAUGGGCUCAACCUGUGGACUGCUUUGGAAACUGCCUUGCUUGAGUGCCGGAGGGGUAAGCGGAAUUCCUAGUGUAGCGGUGAAAUGCGUAGAUAUUAGGAGGAACACCAGUGGCGAAGGCGGCUUACUGGACGGUAACUGACGUUGAGGCUCGAAAGCGUGGGGAGCAAACAGGAUUAGAUACCCUGGUA
rnacentral:rRNA from 1 species